AUUGAACGCUGGCGGCAUGCUUUACACAUGCAAGUCGAACGGUAACAGGCCUUCGGGUGCUGCCGAGUGGCGAACGGGUGAGUAAUGCAUCGGAACGUACCCAGAGGUGGGGGAUAACGCAGCGAAAGCUGUGCUAAUACCGCAUGUGAUCUGAGGAUGAAAGCGGGGGACCGAGCAGCAAUGUUUGGCCUCGCGCCUUUGGAGCGGCCGAUGUCGGAUUGGCUAGUUGGUGGGGUAAAGGCCUACCAAGGCGACGAUCCGUAGCUGGUCUGAGAGGACGACGAGCCACACUGGGACUGAGACACGGCCCAGACUCCUACGGGAGGCAGCAGUGGGGAAUUUUGGACAAUGGGCGCAAGCCUGAUCCAGCAAUGCCGCGUGCGGGAAGAAGGCCUUCGGGUUGUAAACCGCUUUUGGCAGGAACGAAACGGUGUCCGCUAAUACCGGGCGCUAAUGACGGUACCUGCAGAAUAAGCACCGGCUAACUACGUG
rnacentral:rRNA from 1 species